CUGGGAUGUGAUGGGGAGCGAAAUUUAGUAGCGAAGUAGCUGAUUUCACACUGUCAAGAAAAGUCUCUAUCGAGGUUAAAGGUACCCGUACCGCAAACCGACACAGGUGGGGGAGGAGAGUAUCCUAAGGCCAGCGAGAGAACUGUUGUUAAGGAACUCGGCAAAAUGACCCCGUAACUUAGGGAUAAGGGGUGCCACCAUCAGG
rnacentral:rRNA from 1 species